rnacentral:rRNA from 1 species
UACGUAGGGGGCUAGCGUUGUCCGGAUUUAUUGGGCGUAAAGAGCGUGUAGGCGGCUUGGCAAGUCUGCUGUGAAAACUCGAGGCUCAACCUCGAGCUGUCGGUGGAAAACUGCCUGGCUAGAGUCCGGAAGAGGAGAGUGGAAUUCCUGGUGUAGCGGUGAAAUGCGCAGAUAUCAGGAAGAACACCUAUGGCGAAGGCAGCUCUCUGGGGACGGUACUGACGCU